AUUGAACGCUGGCGGCAGGCCUAACACAUGCAAGUCGAACGAGUGGCGGACGGGUGAGUAAUGUCUGGGAAACUGCCCGAUGGAGGGGGAUAACUACUGGAAACGGUAGCUAAUACCGCAUACCAUCGGAUGUGCCCAGAUGGGAUUAGCUAGUUGGGGGGGUAACGGCUCACCAAGGCGACGAUCCCUAGCUGGUCUGAGAGGAUGACCCGCCAAACUGGGACUGAGACACGGUCCAGACUCCUACGGGAGGCAGCAGUGGGGAAUUUUGGACAAUGGGCGCAAGCCUGAUGCAGCCAUGCCGCGUGUCUGAAGAAGGCCUUCGGGUUGUAAAGUACUUUCGGCAGGGAAGCGGUACCUGCAGAAGAAGCACCGGCUAACUCCGUGCCAGCCGCCGCGGUAAUAC
rnacentral:rRNA from 1 species